GGUUGCAUCGUGGAAAUUAUCAAGCAUGCACGUCUACAUGUAUUGCAGCAUUCCCAAAUUCCAGGCUUGCCCCACAUGAAAAUGGCUCUUCUCGUGUAAUCAUUACUUUUCCUUGAAUGGAAAUUAUCAUUGGAUAGUGGUAUAUCUAGAGUUUUUUUUGUUACCAAUACUAUAUGUUUAUUGUUAUGAUAGUAUUGGAAUAUUUGGCUGUGACUACUAACCAUCUUGUGCUUAAAUUUCAGAUUGCUAUUGUACCUAUAUUAAGUAUGGUUCUUGUUCAUAGUUUUAGUCACGCUCAAAUUGAUCGCUACCUAUUUCCUCUUGUCUAUGUAUUUACUGAAUUGAUAUCGAAGUGAUCGACUUCGGACUCGAUUUUUUACUACAUUUAUACCGGUGCGUUCCAACGCUAAGAAAGAAGGCGCCCCGGGUGCAUGUCAUGCCCGGCGGCAACCUGCCUGCCGUCAGGUUUCUUCUUGACCACGGUGCUCAUCUCCGUUAGGAAAGUGAAGAGGGUGCCAAUGUUUUUCAUUUCCGCUGCUAUGAAAGAAAAGACUCGAGCUUUGGCGUCCAUGGAGGUUGCGGCAUGGCACGAUGACCGGCUAGACUGCGAAAGCCGAUGUGGCCAGCCAACAAACCCAUGCUGAAACUAGACUGUCUUGCGCGUGGAGUCACCGAGACCCACCUGCAACCCCAACUGAGGUUCAUUGAUGGUUUAUGUUGACGGGGAUGCUUCCAUGUCCACAAAGCCUGAAAGAAUUCAAUGGGGUGACAGCGAGGAUGUGGUAGACCAAUGAGGAAGGCGUCCCUGCUUGGCAAUGACCAUGGUACUCUCGUCUUGCCACCCCAGAAGCUGAUUUCCAUCUCAGCUAGCUACAUUUUAAUUUUGGUUUGUGUGCGUCGUGUGUAUUUACUCUCUGAAUGGAUAUAUUUUUCUGUGGAACAAUAUGAUUGACUGUUUGAGCCAAAAAAAAAAACUAUCCAGAUCAAGCUAUGUAUGUAGAAAUUUUGCAUAGGUUUGUUUGUAGCUUCAGAUGUUGAUAGGUACUACAUGUUCUUCCUGAAUUUUAUAUAACUAUAUCUGGACAACCUUUAGUUAGUGCUAUGGGAAAUUGCAAAUAAACAGAGUAUAUGUGUAUGUCUUUGUUGCAUCCAUGUAAAUCAAAUUUGAUACUAAUAAAUUCUACAAGAAGCUAAAUAUAUGCAAAAUUAUACAUCCCUUUGGCAUGUGAUCUACCACACUUGUUUCUCAUUGCAAAAAUGCAUAGAAAGUCUAAUCAAUUCUUACUGGAACCAAGCAAUGCAACCAUGAAACGAAUGAAGUGUUGUUGAUGUUUUGUACAGAAAAGAGUGGAGGGGAAUGAGUUCCCAUGCUAUGGCUUUGUCAUGCCAGAUGAAAAUGUGAUUUUCUUCUUUGCACUUGUUUUACUCGUUUCAGUUGGUACCAUUAUGGUGUGAUUAGCACAAUUUUGGUAGUGUUAUUUUUUAAUAUGAGAUUUCUCUUGUAUCUUGGUUUAUUGUUCAAUAGUCUAUGUAGGGCAUACAUGUUGUUGCCUGCAUAAACAUUGGAUUAACCCAAUUAUGUUUGCCCAUCCGUCAUUGUACUUUUUUAAAUCUAGUUGAUGGCCAAAUUAUACAUCUCUUUGGCACGUGAUCUACCACACUUGUUUCUCAUUGCAAAAAUGCAUAGAAACUCUAAUCAAUUCUUGCUGCAACCAAGCAGUGCAACUAUGAAAAUGAAAUGAAUGAAGUGUUGUUGAAGUUUUGUAUAGAAAAGAGUGAAGGAGAAAGUUCCCAUACUAUGUCUUUGUCAUGCCAUAUGAAAAUGUGAUUUGCUUCUUUGCACUUGUUUUACUCGUUUCAGUUGGUACCAUUGUGGUAUGCUUAUCACAAUUUUGGUAGUGUUACUUUGUAGUAUGCGAUUUCUCUUUAUCUCAAUAUAUUGUUCAAUAGUCUAUGUAGGGCAUACAUGCUGUUAAAGUCUACAUGGUUGUUGCGUGCAUAAACAUUGGAUUAACCCAAUUAUGUUUACCCAUCUAUCAUUGUAUUUUUUAAAUCUGUAAUAUGGACAGAAAUAAUUAUUGUUUGAUCAUAUAUGUGAGAUAUUUAUAUAUCUGCAUGCUUUGUUUUAUAAUGUGAUCCUCUUCCAGUGUUGCGAUAUUCUUCAUGUAUAUUGCCAAUUGCCUGCUGAUGCCCUUUUUCACCUUGCCAAUGGUCUGAUGCACCCCUUUUUACCUUCUUACCCACUUGUGUAUUGUAGGGAUGAAAGUGGGGUGGAAAGUUUCCGACUUUUCCGUGGAAAAAUGGAAAUGGAAUAAAAAUAUGAAACGAAAACGGAAUUUUGCAAAACGGAAAUGAAAAUGGAUUUUUUUUGCAGAAACAGAAACAAAAACGGAACAGUUUUUUUCCAGCGGAUCAGACGCGGAAACGGAAUUUCUCGGCUAAUAUGAAAUUUCCAUUUUAGGCUUGAUAUGCAUCGCCCAAUCCCACAUAUCCAUCACAUGACCUUGCUAAUCCGAACUUCAAAAGCGGCUCUUCCCAAAAUUGGUGACCAUAUGUUAUACCUUCAUGCAUUCGAGGAGGCUUCCAAGGUGAAUGAAGGUAAAAUAACAGAGUAUGAAUUGAGCAACCGCCUCAUGGGCAUAGUUAGGCACCUGGUGCAGCAUAGGACACUAAAGUUUCAUUGCUUUUCUAUAAAAGGCUCUAGCUUUGGGGUCCAUGGUGGUUGCGUCAUGGCACAAUUACUGGUUGGACUAUGUGAAGGCAGCGUGAACCACACCGCCAAGGCAACAAGGUGCUACUACAAGACGUUGGCGAGCCCCAUUCCAAUCGUGUGUCGUUUAUGAGGCUUUGGCAAGCCAGCGCUAUGCUUUGGCUCCUUCGUUGACGUCUCCUCGGAUGUGCUCGCUAGGAACACCACAAAGCUGAGGAGUGCGUUAUGCCAAGGACUACAACCUAGUGAUGCACCCACAGAUUUACAUGCCGAACCUCGACGUGAUCAAGCUCAUGCAGGUCGAAGGAAUACGUCAAUGAGACCUUCUCGUGGCAGCACUUCUACUGGUACCUCACCAAUGAAGGCAUCUUCCUCAACCUCCCAUAUGAGAUAGUGCCUAACAUGCUCAAGCCACACUAUGUGAUAAGGGCGAUAAGGACUUAUAUUGCUUUUUGUGGACUGGGUUUUCUUACUAGUGGCAAAGUAGGUUGAGCUCGAAGGCCUUGUCGAAAAUAUCGGAGCUAAAAUGGUAGCCAGGUUGCUGUUAAAACUAUGAUUUGGUUGUUAAUGGGACGAAAAGUUUUGUCAACCUUUCUCAAGGGACGCCAGGGUGUUAAGAUUGUCGCUGCUGGUGCUAAUCAAGUAUAGAUCGAUCACCCGUUGUAUUGAGAAAAAAGCCAAAGCAUUAGAGAUGUUGAGCUCUGAAAGAUGUCCAAGUAGUAUAUUUGAAGAUACCGUUGGUGUGUAUCAUUUUGUAAACUGGCGGUGCUGAUGAUGUGCUGGAUGCGGCCUUCUGCGCCUCUGCACGUGAUGGUAGGCUCGGCUGGACCCUGAACUAGCCAAUUGUAGUGGUGGUGAUGUUGGACUUGGCUACAACUCUCCGGUGCUAGGUUGUAACAUUUUUGACUGUCAGCCUUCAUCUUUCGUUGAUGCAUUUGCUAUUUUCAAGCUGUGCAAGUUGGCACUGCAGCUGGAAGUGGUGGGAUGAGAUCUAGUUCCUUGAGUAUGUACUUGGAUGAUAAAUACACGACCUAUUGAAUAUCAAAUUAGGUUGUUUCUGAGAUGCAGGAGAUGAUACUCAGAACCUGGUUGGCAGAUGGUAGAUAUGGUGCUUCCAAAGUAUUUGAAUGUUACUUGAUUGAUGGUCCAAUUUCUAUUUGAAUGCUUUUUGAUACUAGUGAUGGGGAUAAGUGGAGUUGGAGGCCUCUAGGAGGGCGGGAUCCAUCGCUGCCAGGUCCAGACGAUGGCCGGCCAUAUUUUUUCAUGUUUUUUGCACUAAUGAUGCAAUCUCUUUGGUACUAGGUGAGGUUUGAUGAAAGACUGAAGAAAGUCUCGCUAUUAUAUUGGCUUCACCUAGGACCUCUCUCCCCAAGCAAUAGUGUGUGUGUGUUAUGAUUAGCCGUUCUCUCUAUACGGUUGUAAGUAGCUGUUCUCGUGGUGAUUUACAAAGCUAUCCAUCAGGCUUAAAUUUGAGUUGGAGUCAGUUGUGUAUCUAUGUUGUGAACUAAAUGAGUCAAAGAAAAACGAAUGAAGUUCGAAAUA